CAAAGAUUCUUUAUGCGCCAUUGGCUCCGGACCCCAACACCACUUCAAACCACAUCAUUAUGAUAGGCAGUGUUUAGAAUGAAAAAGAUGUGUGUAAAUUAUUUCAGGCCACUUUGUCACUUGGUAUUAGAAACAGGAGAACAGGCCAUAUGUAGGGAAUAAUUUCAAACUGUGCACUGUUUUAGUUUCAUUCGUCUGACCUGUAGGAUCCGCAGAAUGGGAAGUGUUCCAGCCCAAAUCCAUCGCGAGCGGAUGGUUCAUGCUAGAUGGUGAAGCAUUCUUCUAGCCGUGAAUCCUAAAGAAAAGUCUUCAGUGACAGAAAUCUCUAAGUUGAUAUCAAGGGCACGUACCUAAGUCAAACUGGCCAGGGCAGGGAGAUCAUGAAAACGCCAUCGAGCAAGUGGGAUUCUCUAUCAAAGACCGUGUUUCUCCGGGAAUCUAUCCAUCACGCUCCCUGGGAAAGCUUGUCCUCUGACCAUGGCAGUGAAUCAUAGGCCCAUAGUGAAUGGCUAGCCCUACCGUGUUCCAAAAUUUGUGUCACAAUUGGGAGAAUAUUGAAGCAAGUCAGGUUCCACACAGACUCAAGACAGGAACUCAUGUUCUCUUGGGGUGAAGGGAACCAGGCCCAUGGAGCUGGAACUGGGUGAGGCUGGCAAGCCAGCCCUCGAGCCUGCUUGUAGGCCUUCCCACAUUGGCCGAUCUCCAUCUGAAGGAAGUCUCGUGUACUGGAUGACAUCACAGAGCUUGCUCACCAAUGAUGAGCUUGAAAAAGGAAGGCAGAAAAGUAUUUCUAGAUCAGUCAAAAUCUGCCCCAAAGUAGCUCUAAGAAGCCGAUCUCAUUUCCACAGGCCUCAAGACAUCACUGUCCUAAACCAAAGGGUCCUGUUCUCACGGGUCUGCAGUUAGAAGCCCCUAUUAUUGUUUCUCCAUCUGUAAAAACAGAAUGGCCAGACUCCCCAGUUCACGGACAAGGUCACCAAGAGGAUGUGACUUCCAGGUGACCCCAUGAGGGGCUCCUCACCCCCUCCCCAUUCUUGGAAUAUGUGCAUCGCCCACCAUUGCCACAGUGGGAGCUGUUGAGGCUGCAGUGGGAGCUGUUGCAAGGCCACAGUCUUGAGAAAGUAAAGUGUUGCCGUGGCCAUAUGGACUGAAAGCAUGACUGAGCCCAGUUACAGCCCUUAUACAAACUUUUGAGAUUCUGAUGGUGGGUGCGGAGAUCUACUUGUCUUGCGGCCACCCAGACGUCUUGCGGCCGCCCAGACAACCUCCUGUGUGAGUUCCCUGGCUUAUCAUCCUUGCCACCAACCAAUCUGGACCAGCUGCCGCCUCCUUCUGUGUCUCCCUGCUGUCCUUGCACCCCCCGCUCCCAGGUGCGGGGGCCAGUGUGUGAAUCAACACCAGUUGAGCUCACAGUUCUAAUCAGUGACUUGGCACCAAAGUAGACAUUGCUGAAUACAGUAUAAUGUAUGGGUGGGUAAUGCAAGACACAACCAGCCCUAGAAAAAAAGCCCCACGAAACGGAGAGCUCGCUUCCAGUUGAUGAAAGUCCAGUGUUUCCACAUGGGAAAUAGGCAUGGAAGAGAGGUGACUUCCUUUUCCACAUGCCUCCUGCAUCAGAGCUGUGUGUGCCCAUUACGGUGGACUUCAGGGACGUGAGAAACACUCUCCACCAUUCCUAACGGGAGGCUUUUAGUGCUCUUUUAGUUUUGCUUUCCUUGGACUUUUCAUGAGUAUUGAUGUUGGAAGACGGAAUAAAACCAGACACAGCUAGUUAGCUUCCAUCUGAGCCUUAGAGCAAAUAAUUGGGCAUUACAAGGUCCAAUAACAUCAACUUGUCUUGUGAAAAAUGCUGAAAAGCAAAAUCCACCUAUAGUAAGAAAUAAUAAUAAUAUGGUAGGCAGGGGCACAGAGGCUGAAUAGAUCUUGCCCACUGAGAACCCUGAAUGCACCGUGAGUCAGUCUGACCUGAUGCACCUGUAUAGGGUACGUGUCACCCCUAUGUCUGGCAUUCCGUGUGCUGGCUUAAAUAGUUCCUUUUUGCCUGUUGAUAUCACAGGUGACUUGGGGGUCACCUCUUCCAGGAAACCUUUUUGUAAAAUUCAAAUUAACUUAGAUGCAUCAUCUAUGUGUGUUCAUAGCAUGUGGUUCCUGUCACCAUAAUAACAGCAUAUGCUUUAUUUUUGUUGCUACUUUGGCUGUCUCUGCAACUAAUCAAUUAGCUCUUAUUGGGGAGAUUUUUGGAUUGUCACUUUGUUUUGAUUAUAGCAUCCAACACGGUGUCUGGCACAUAGUAAGAACAUAAUUUAUGUUCGGUUAAAAUUGAAGAAGUGGCUUCCUAGCAGUCAAAGAGUCCUCGAAAGUUUCAACGGAACUUGCUGCAUAUUUAAGGACUGUUUUCAAGUUUAAUUAGACGGAUCCUUACAAAUAUUUGUAUAUGAGAUGCUUCUCGGUCAAUAAACCACUCAGUUACUUUAUAAGCAGACAGUCUCUCUGCUUGAUCAAAUUUCUGUUGCCUUCCAAGUGUUGAUAUCACUUACUGAAGACUAAUCAUUAAUAGACAGCUAUACUGAUUUCAUGUCUGCCUGGUCAAAACGAUGCCGUCCCAGACUCCAUAGCCAGGCGUACUCCCAGGGCUUCUUUUCUAGUCUAGAAAUAACUGAAGAGAGGUCAUCUCAAGAGAUACUUUUCGCUGCCUUUGAAAGAGUUGCCAUUUCUAAUUUGUUGAAUAUGGAUUAAGUUUAGAUUUACAUUGAAGUUUAGCAAAGAAGAAUACUAAUAAUGAAGGAAAAAACAUGGAUGACAUGAUCAAAACCAGACCCUUAGCCUCCUUCUUCAAAAAGCUAUUCCAUGGCGAUGCUGGUCCCAUGAAUAGAUUUUCUCUCCGACAACAACUGGCAUAGACUUCUCUACUGGAUAGCCAAUCUGAGCAUCAUGAAAUUCAGGAAAUGUAUAGAAAUCGUGCUGAUCAGAGAAAAAAAGGAGAAAUGGAAAGAAAGAAGAAAGAAAGCAUAUCCUUUCCCAAAAAAUGGCUAAGUUGAGCCAGGGGCAUUGAUUUGUCUACUGCAUUCCCAAAGGAUUUUCAUUACAAAUGAAUGA